UCAGUCCCACUACACCCUCCCCCGCCCACCGCCUCAGCAACCAACCUCCAGGGAGGGGAAAGGGGGCAGAAGUUUGAGUUAAUAACUAAUAGCUAAAGAUGUAAACAAUAAGCCUCCAUAAAACCCCAAAAGGACUGGACUGGUUUCUGAGAGCUUCCAGGUUGUUGAGCACGUGGAGGUUCUGGGAGGGUCCACACCCAGAGAAGGCAUGGAAGCUGACCCCUUCCCCAUACCUUGCUCUUUGCAUCUCUUCCAUUUGGCUGUUCCCGAGUUGUAUACUUUGUAAUAAGUGGGAUUUCCACCCAACAACAAUUCAGCCACACUGCUUCACACAUCUAGAAUCCAUCCAAAAUUGUAAAGGCUUUGUGGCACUACAGUGAAACAGGCAAGAACAUCUUCCAAACAUCCAGCACAAGAGCACACAGGAGGCCGGCAUAAUCACGAAUUGCAGCUGUCUGAAGGGCAGUCACAUAAAAGAGGAGAAGCUUCACCUUUGCUUCACAAGGCACAUCUUGAACCAGGGAUGGAAAUUACAGAGAGGCCAAAACCAGCUCGGUGUGAGCAGGACUGGUAACAGACUGGCCAAGCAACAGAAGGGGCUGCCCUGUGAAGAAGCAAGCUCUCUGUCAAUGGGAGGUGCAAGCUGAGCCUGCACUACCUUUUGUCACGGUUGCUAUGGAAAAGAUUAAGAGCCCGGAUAGCCCUUCCUCCUCUGGGGGCCUGGGCAUCAGCAAGUCGGAUGGCAGUGGAAGGUGGAGAAAUGGAAUCCUGCUGGGGGCUCAGGAGGCCUGCCCCCUGAUGCUGCCGUGCACUGCAGAUGUCCUUGAUGAAGAGAAUGAAUGGAAGCUGUCUUUCUCAAUGGCAAAAGGGCAUACUGCUGUUAUUGUCAGUGAGGGGUCAGUAGUUUAAAUGAUGAAACUCUGGGGAUCAGCGUAAAGUAAACCAACAUACUGCAUGUAAAUUCCUCAUUCUUACUGCUGUGAGAACAAUUGUUAGGAGCCAAAAACUUCAGAGCUUUCAAAGAACUGUAAUGAGAUAGCACAAUGCAGGCAAAAAGCCAGUGUUAACGGAGCAAGAAACUUCCCAGUUCUGACAUUCACAGCAUGACCUAGAGCAUGCGGAUUCCCCUCUCUGAGUCACUGGUUUCUCACCUGCAAAAGAAAGCGGGGACAGGGAAGGAGGAAGAAGCUUCGAGAGGCUGGAACAGUUGAGGGAGCGCUGACACGGUAAAGGCCACUUUGCUCAUCAUCACCAGGCGUGCUGCCGAAAAUUUCCACUCUGUUUACUCCCAAGACCUUACUCCUACUAUGUGGAGACACAUUUGAAUAAAAAAUUGGCCUCUUUUCAAAGUCAAAAUUCUGAGCCAGCUUGAAGGGAUUGUUUUUGGUCAAACCUGC
rnacentral:lncRNA from 1 species